AACAAGAAGAAAACACGGGAAAGACUGCAGAGGCUUCUAUAUGCGCUCUCUUAACUCCACUGCAUAAAAUAUUGUAACGAAACUAGAGACGUUUGCGUAACCCACGUCCUCCCUGGCCAUUCUCCAGGCAGGCGCAGCAGCCGGGACAGAGACUUAUCACCAGCCCCGCCGCUGACGCCCGCGCCCGGACCACGCGACGGAGCUUUCCCGCGGGCCCUGCGGGCCACGUGGCCGGGGCGCUCGGGGCAGCACCGGCGGGAACGAGGCGACCCCGCCACGCAGCCAGCAAAUUCUCCUGAAGAUCAUUCAAAAUGCUGCUGAUAGGAUCAUCUUCCUAGAUUGUCAUUCUGACUAUGUCAUCCCCCUUCAUCUUUGUGGCUUACCCCCUAGUGACGACUUCUUCUCCAGUGCACAAGCUUGUUGUCUUCUUCUUUAAGCCCUUUGAAGCAAUCCCCAUGAAGAGGUGCACAUAUAUUGAUUCAAAUUGGAUUCUCCAGAGACCAACAGACAAAGAAUGGACUUCUGAAUAAAUAGCUGGGUUUUAAACUGGCUCAGGGCCUUCUUCCUGAUCCAGCAAAUUGACAGGACUUCUGAUCACCGGAGGGCCCCAAUUCUUAGGGAAGGGUUGGAACAUCUUGGCCUACUGAGACCCCAUAAGAGUGUGUGCUUGUUCUGGGCUGGAGCUGUGAUGGACUUGUGAGCACAAAGGAAACCCUGGAGGUGGGGUAUUGAAGGACUUCUCCUUCCAGAGUCCAUUUUAGAGUUGGAAUGGUGUCUGGUAAGCUUAUUAGCAUGCAGAUAGGUUCUUUCAUUGUUUUUAAUAGGCUUUCUUUGUCGUGCUUUUACCUGAAGAAUAAAAUAGGCUUGCAUGGAAA